rnacentral:rRNA from 1 species
CGCGUAGGCGGUCUGCUAAGCGUGCGGUGAAAGCCUGGGGCUCAACCCCAGGUCUGCCGUGCGAACUGGUGGACUUGAGCACUGUAGAGGCAGGUGGAAUUCCGGGUGUAGCGGUGGAAUGCGUAGAGAUCCGGAAGAACACCAGUGGCGAAGGCGGCCUGCUGGGCAGUUGCUGACGCUGAUGCGCGACAGCGUGGGGAGCAAACA